CUGCCCCUCAGGAAGCUAACACUGUGAGAAGGAUAUGCCGCCCAGGGCACAUCCCUAAGGCGCUGUCUGUGGACUGGGCCAGAGCUACUUCCGGACCAGCAUCCAGGUCCACUUCACGACCAGGUGGUGUUGAGACUCUCAUCUGGACCUUGAUUCAGACAGCAGAUCUGGCCAGCAAGCCCCAGGGGUCCUCUUGCUUCUGUCUCCUCGGCGCUGGGAUUACAGUGUGCUCUGCCACUAAACUACAUCCUAGCCUUGAGGUGUUUGCUCCAGCUGCAAGAUGGGAAACCUCAAGGCACUUACUGGACAAGGACCGAGAUGGCCACCUCCCCAAACACACUUUCUGCAGACAGCCCUGGUGGCUAACAGUUACCAAGCCAGCAAAGGAAACCCUCAAAAAGAAGUCAUGUUGUACUAGAAUAAGUAAGCCUUCAAGUCUCCUUUGUCCAGAGGCAACCCAGUGGCUCACUGACGAAGCAUGGCCGUAGUCCACAUAGCCCACAAGUGCAGAAUACUUCACCCA
rnacentral:lncRNA from 1 species